UACGAAGGGGGCUAGCGUUGUUCGGAUUUACUGGGCGUAAAGCGCACGUAGGCGGCCCGGUAAGUCCGUUGUGAAAGUCAGAGGCUCAACCUCUGGAGGCCAAUGGAUACUGCCGGGCUAGAGUCCGGAAGAGGCGAGUGGAAUUCCUGGUGUAGCGGUGAAAUGUGUAGAGAUCGGGAGGAACACCGGUGGCGAAGGCGGGUCUCUGGGCAAUAACUGACGCUGAGGAGCGAAAGCGUGGGGAGCGAACAGG
rnacentral:rRNA from 1 species